AACGAACGCUGGCGGCAGGCCUAACACAUGCAAGUCGAACGCAUCCUUCGGGGUGAGUGGCGCACGGGUGAGUAACACGUGGGAAUGUACCCUUUGGUUCGGAAUAACGUCUGGAAACGGACGCUAAUACAGGAUGAGCCAUGUGGGGGAAAGAUUUAUCGCCGAAGGAGCAGCCCGCGUCUGAUUAGCUAGUUGGUGGGGUAAAGGUCUACCAAGGCGACGAUCAGUAGCUGGUCUGAGAGGAUGAUCAGCCACACUGGGACUGGGCACACGGCCCGGACUCCUACGGGAGGCAGCAGUGGGGAAUAUUGGACAAUGGGCGGAAGCCUGAUCCAGCCAUGCCGCGUGAGUGAUGAAGGCCUUCGGGUUGUAAAGCUCUUUCGCACGCGACGAUGAUGACGGUAGCGUGAGAAGAAGCCCCGGCUAACUUCGUGCCAGCAGCCGCCGUAA
rnacentral:rRNA from 1 species